CUUUACUGAAAUCUGUGUAUAGCUCGCUUCAUAAACAUGCUUCCUUCUAUUACGAGCUCUCCUUCCCCGGACGAGCUUCCUUCAACUUGUAAAAACUCUCCUUCAACUUUAUUUGUUCUCUCUGUAUGAAUCUAACCCUUUCUUUUUCGCAGGUCUUAAACCCUAACUAUUAAAGACUUUGUUUGUUCAAAAUUUCUCAAACCUCAAAGAAUUUUUGAACCUUUCAUUACUAGGGAUGAAACAUAAAAUGAGUGUUAAAUUGGUUUUAAAUUUGGGUGGUUAGAGGUUUUCAUUAUAUAGAAUGCCAAGAUGAGAAGCUUUUGGUAUUUCUUAUGACAUGAUACUAAUCUGUGUGUUCGACAAGGAUCAAAAUGGUUUCAUCACUGCAGCUGAGCUCUGUCAUGUUAUGACAAAUCUCAGCUAAAAGCUGAAAUAUGAAGAGGUUGACGAGAUGAUUCGCGAAGUUGAUGUUGACGGUGAUGGUCAGAUCAACUAUGAGGAGUUCGUUAGAGUCAUGAUGGCUUAUUUGUUUUUAAAAUAAUGUGUUUCAAAUAUUGUGUAUAAUUAAAUUUUGAUUUUUAAUGUCAAUAACGGCUGAAUGCUUGCCCUUGGUCUUAUAGGAAUAAAUAAAUUUGGGACUGCUCUAGUUUUAUUGUGUAAGUGUCAUGCUACUAUCACUUCCCUCAGCGUGGUUGAUACCCAUAAGAGGUCUUUGGUACUAAGUACAUGUCGGAAGAGUUUAAUUUUGAGUACAUGGCAGUGCAUGUCCCCAAGAGCAACACUGCAACUUUUCAUUUCUUCACAAAGAAAUUACGGUACAACAAUGAUGCUGAGGAGGAGAAUGCUUAUGUCAUAAGGA